rnacentral:rRNA from 1 species
AUGCCUAGCCCUAAACAGACAAUCACUUUACAAUCAUUUUCGCCAGGGAACAACGAGCCUCAGCUUAAAACCCAAAGGACUUGGCGGUGCUUUAGACCCCCCUAGAGGAGCCUGUCCUAGAACCGAUAAUCCCCGUUUAACCUCACCCCCUCUUGUUCUUUCCCGCCUGUAUACCUCCGUCUUCAGCUCACCCUGUGAAGGCUUAGUAGUGAGCAAGGUUGGCACUGCCUAAAACGUCAGGUCCAGGUGCAGCUUAUGAGGGGGGAAGAGAUGGGCUACAUUUUCUGCCCCAGAAAACACGAAUUUUGCCCUGAAAAAGCAUCUGAAGGUGGAUUUAGCAGUAAGGAGAAAUUAGAGCGUUCUCCUGAAGCCGGCCCUAAAGCGCGUACACACCG